CGUCCUUGACCUGGUGACUUUUGACCUUCAGGACUAAUUUUUCCUAGUUCUGACUGUCCUGGUUUUCCACCUUGUGGAUUUUGACAUCCAGGAAAAACGAGGUAUGACCCGAGGUGGUGGACGGUGGUUGGUGGUGCUCGGAGGUGCACGAGGAGAAGGACGAGGAAGACAAGGAGAUGAAGGUGGACGAGGUGGACGAGGAUUUGUGCUCGUAUUUGACAACAGUGAUACCUUAUCACGUGGACAGUGGCCCACCUGAUGAUCAAGCUUUACAAGUCCUCAUUAAGAUAUUGAAGGCUAUUAAUGAGGAUAGUCCAACGGUGCCCACAUUAUUAACGGACUACAUAUUGAAAGUUCUGUGCCCCAUCUAGUGAUCCACUAGUACAUAUCCUCCGACGUGACAUCGCUGUGCUACGUAUAAAGAAGAAAAGAUUUAUUAAGAUGCAGAUUGCUCCUCUCUACUUGCUAUUGUGCUUUCAUAUAGCACUACAAUAAAUCUUAUAGAAAUAAGCUCUCAUUGAGAUUUUUCUGCAUUUAUGACUCGACGCGAGAAGGCAAAAAUCAAUGUAAUGCCAUCUGUAAGGUAAUUGGACUUGUAUUCGCACUACGAGAACUCGUUGGGCAUUUUGCGGUGAAAUUUGAAAAAUUGUUGUA